GACGAACGCUGGCGGCGUGCUUAACACAUGCAAGUCGAACGGAAAGGCCCUGCUUUUGUGGGGUGCUCGAGUGGCGAACGGGUGAGUAACACGUGAGUAACCUGCCCUUGACUUUGGGAUAACUUCAGGAAACUGGGGCUAAUACCGGAUAGGAGCUCCUGCUGCAUGGUGGGGGUUGGAAAGUUUCGGCGGUUGGGGAUGGACUCGCGGCUUAUCAGCUUGUUGGUGGGGUAGUGGCUUACCAAGGCUUUGACGGGUAGCCGGCCUGAGGGGGUGACCGGCAAAAUUGGGACGGAGAUACGCCCCGACCCCCUGCGGGAGGAGGAGGGGGGAAAUAUUGAACAGGGGGCGGAAGCCGGAGCCAGCACCGCCGCGUGCGGAAGGGCGGCUUUCGGUUUGAAACCCGCUUGCACUUGGGACGAGGGGGGAGGGCGGGUAAGGGAAAAAAAAGCCCCGGCAAAUUAGGUC
rnacentral:rRNA from 1 species